GACGAACGCUGGCGGCGUGCCUAACACAUGCAAGUCGAGCGAGAAGGGACCUUCGGGUCCUGGAGAGCGGCGAACGGGUGAGUAACACGUGGGCAACCUGCCCCAAGGACUGGGAUAACGCUCGGAAACGGACGCUAAUACCGGACGUGCUCUGACCACUCAAGUGGUCCGAGCAAAGGUAGCUUCGGCUUCUGCCUUGGGAUGGGCCCGCGGCCUAUCAGCUUGUUGGUGAGGUAACGGCUCACCAAGGCUACGACGGGUAGCUGGUCUGAGAGGACGAUCAGCCACACUGGGACUGAGACACGGCCCAGACACCUACGGGUGGCAG
rnacentral:rRNA from 1 species